rnacentral:misc_RNA from 1 species
UUUCCGUAGGUGAACCUGCGGAAGGAUCAUUAAAGUUAUAGUCCCCCGGCCCUCUGGGCUGGGGUCUUCUAUACCACCCUUUGUUUAUUACACCUUUGUUGCUUUGGCAGGCCUGCCCUCGGGCUGCUGGCUCCGGCCGGCUCGCGUCUGCCAGAGGACCUAAACUCUGUUUGUAUAUGAAGUCUGAGUACUAUAUAAUAGUUAAAACUUUUAACAACGGAUCUCUUGGUUCCG